AGCCAUUGUACUUGCAAGAUGAAGCCACCAAGGCCACCCAGUUGGAUCAUUCCUAUGGAAGCAGGCAGGCAUCUACUGAGAAACUUCUGUACAGUGGAAGUCUGUACGGCACUGAUUUGGGCACUUGAGAGUGAUGAGAAGAGGAUGCACACAAGUAUUCUGCAUAUGUAUGUUGUGAGAGAACAGGAGGUGUGACCUCCCCUUCAUCCCCAUGACAGCAGAUUGGACGCUCAGGGACAGACACCUCACUCACAUCCCCACGGCUCCUCUGAUUGCCUUGUAACUGUUGACAGAUCACCCGUGACACAAGAACUGGUCACUCCCAGUUUCUGGCUCAACUGCCAGUUGUAAAGGAAGAUGGAGGACUGUACACUCAAGAGCUCACCUUUAGGAACCAGACCAAGAGACCCCUGACCCUGCAGCAACCAGUGAUGUGUGACCCAGAGCCACAGUGUUCUGAGACACCAAGGAGCAUGAUGUCACCUACAACACUGAGGCCUGGAAUCUGAUGACCAUAGAGAGUUGUGAAGCAAACAAUGUGAGACAGGACCCAGUGCUGCCCCAGAACAGGUCCUGAGGGUAAGCAGAUAGGAGUGCACGGGACGAUGCAAGCAGAGCACGAAGAGAGCACAGCUCAGUCAUGUCUCCACGUGCUCCUCUAAACUACAGCUCUCCUCACAUCAUAAGCUCCCCAAGGGGCUCUUCAUCCCAGAAGAGGCCCCAAGGGUAUAGCAAGGUUUUUUGCAUUCAAAGGGGAUAUCAGUCAGAAAGGUUUUAAGGCUGUCUAUGAAAUCCGCAUAGGUGGUAACUUGUGUUUCACAGUCCGUUUCCUGGAGGGAAUGGAAAAAAAUAAACAGCACUUGAGUCCAGGGCUUCUUUGCUGUCUCCCCAGAACCUAGAAACCAUGCCAAGCCCAUAUAGUCAGGCUGCUACAUCCCGGCAAGAGUGCUGCCAAAUCCCUCAUAGUCCCCCCAGGAAGCAUCAGCCUCCAUCGUCCUGGAUGCAGAGCUGCAGACUCAGACCAGUCUUCAGACCUGGCCACUGUGCUUAAAACUACUUUCCUUCUCUGUGCCCGACCUUCAUCUUCAUGAGGGGAUGGAGACCUCUGCAGGUCACUGCAGAGAUGCCUGGAGACACCUAGAGGAGCUUCUUAAAUAUCAACCAAGAGCUAAGUGUAUGAAGAUUUUCUGCUUGGGUUUUCAGUUUGGACUAGUUGGGAGGCCUCCAUUCCAGCCUCAGUUUCCCCAAUGGUCAAAGAAAGAGGGCACCCUGUCUCCACAUCAGUUGUCUGUGCUAUUUGGAUUGGUCUCCAGGACAUGUCUGGGUACUUCUAGGAGGUCCCAGCUGGAGCAUCUACAGAAGGAAGUUCCAACAGUCAGAGUUGAAGGCUGCCAUCUGAGAGGGAAGAUACGAAGCUCCAAGACUAAGAGGCUAUACACCUUGGGGAUCAGAGAGUGCUCAGGGCGGGGAAAGUCUGUACCACCCAGGAUGGAAGUGAAAGGGGGAAAGCCUUGGAGGUCCUCAGCAACUGAUUCAAAUGGUAAUCCAAACCAGGGAGGAAAAACCUUUCUUUGUCUGGAACAGAGACCUGGGCCACCUCAGUGUCCAACUCAGAGCUGGGGAGAGUGUCAGACAUCACUCUCAUCCCAGGGCCUUCUGUGUCCCAUGAGUGCUCUGAGUACAUUGUGGUAUCUGGCCAUGGCUCCAAAGAGUGUGUCCUUCAGUGAAUCAGCUAGGCAAGAGAAAAGUAAUGGACUGCUGCCCCACUUCCAGUGAGAGAGGCUCUCACAGCUGGAAAAGUAAAACAGAAUUCCAGGGAGAGUCUGUUGGGAGGUCCCGGAAGUAGAAGGAGGACCAUGAGAGAGGAAACAGAGGUCUUAAGAGAGGGGUCAUUUCACGAACUGCAGAAACAAACCUCUGACUUCUCAGCCCUGUGAGCAUCCCAAGCAUUCAGGUGAGUGAGGCUGGGGAAGAAGAGGAGUGGGGGCAGGGAGAGGAGAGGUUUAUUUCUUUGGGA
rnacentral:lncRNA from 1 species